CUUUGUUUAAUAAGCAUCUGGUGCUUAAUGUGGUUAGGCAGCAUGUUAGUGAGAUAAAAAGAUAAAUCUGUCUCUAUGAUAGGAGUCUGUAUUGCCUUCUGGUUUCUCUAGAUAUUUCAAUGUAGCUUCUCUCCAGCCUGAGUUUGAGGACCUCUGAGCUAAACAACCUGUGGAAGAUGCUCUCAAGUUUCAAGUGUCUGGGACCAAGGAUUCAGAGUGAACACCAUGUGGGUUGUUUGGUGAGAAAGAUCCAACAUAAAGUAGCAGUAAUUCAUUGCCAGACUACACUGCUCAGGGACCUGCAAGAGUACUGGCACAGUUUCAAUGAAGAAUAUGUUGUUGAAUCAAAAAGAUAAUUGGACCAUUGAUCUUAAAUCUUCCGUGGUGAUGCUGAGAAGAAACCUCCACGCAAACUCAAAGCUAAUGACCUACUUUCCUUUGGGAUGCAAUCAUUGGCAGUUCGACAACUUUCACAUCAAAGUUUUCAAGUUGAGGGAAGUUAUUGAAGCAAGCUUAACCUGA
rnacentral:lncRNA from 13 species